rnacentral:rRNA from 1 species
GACCAAGGAGUCUAACAUGUGCGCGAGUCGUAGGGUUACGCUCAAAGCCCGAAGGCGCAAUGAAAGUGAAGGUCGGCCUCGAUUGCCGUUACCUAGGCGGGAUCCGUUCGGGCUUACCGGUCGUUCGCGGCUGAGCCCGGCGGCGCACCGCCGGCCCGUCUCGACCGCAUCGCCGGUGAGGCGGAGCGAGAGCGUACACGUUGGGACCCGAAAGAUGGUGAACUAUGCCCGGGCAGGACGAAGCCAGAGGAAACUCUGGUGGAGGUCCGUAGCGAUUCUGACGUGCAAAUCGAUCGUCGGAC